rnacentral:rRNA from 1 species
UACAGAGGUCUCAAGCGUUGUUCGGAUUCAUUGGGCGUAAAGGGUGCGUAGGCGGCGCGGUAAGUCGGGUGUGAAAUCUCGGAGCUUAACCGAUCGAACUCGCAUUCGAUACUGCCGUGCUUGAGGACUGGAGAGGAGACUGGAAUUUACGGUGUAGCGGUGAAAUGCGUAGAUAUCGUAAGGAAGACCAGUGGCGAAGGCGACUCUUUGGUCUGUAACUGACGCUGAGGCGCGAAAGCGUGGGAGCAAACAGG